CAGAGCCUGGAUCCUGUGUCUUCUCUCUCUGUUGCUCCCCUGCUUGCGUGCGCGCACGCUCUCUCUCUCUCUCUCUCUCUCUCUCUCUCUCUCAGAAACAAGUAAAGAUUCAGAACAAAAAAAGUACAGAAAUCACUUGCCUCACCCAAGCCUACUGAGUCCAAAUCAACAGGGUGAGGCCUGAGAAUUGACUUUUUUAACCAGCAUCCUGAGUGAUUCUUUUGUUCAGACAAGUUUGAGAAACAUUGUAUUACAUGAUCAGUAAGAUAUCUUUCAACUCUAAGAUUGCUCAAAUGAUCCUUCAAAAUACCAACCCUUUUUCCCCCCUCCCUCCAAAUUGGGGAGGUAAGAAUUAAAUGAUAACAAAUCAAGUUAGCUUGUGGGUGGAAAAAUAUUGGUGGGGCUGGUCUGCCACCAGAUUAUAAUAUAUAUGAAGAUUGUCUUGGGGACACUCAACCUUAGCUACUCAAGGGUUCUGUGUUGUUCCUGCUCUAAAUUAAUACCUCUUCUCAGGAAGGACUUGAACAAUUUAUUCACUCUGGAAUUUAAAAAGCUUAAGAGCCUUCUUGAAUUUUCUCUCUGGCAUAUUAACAAGAUCUGAAAUCAACAGAAUGAAAGCAUCAAGAAUGUCCAUAAGUGGGGCAAGCACCAAAAUCAGGCAGGGACCUCACUCAGAAAACUGCUGAGCUGGUUCAACACGAAGCAGGAGAGUCUGCACCAGUUCAAGGAUGGUAUAAUAGGACAUUAGUCAUCCAAGCAAAGAAAUGUACCAGAAAUCAGAACAAAGUCAGUGUCACCAUUACAGAGCACAAACUCUGGAUAUCUUCUUUGAGCAACUUUAAUCUCUUCUCACAAACCCAUCUGCUGACAAGAGACAUUGGAGCAAACUUGUUUUGAAGAGCAAAAAUUCAAAAAUCAUAAAUUCAUUCUUUCAUGUGUUCACUACUAUUCCUUGAGGAAAUUCAUCUAUUGAUGUAUUCAACAUUAUUUAUUGAGUCCUCCCAUGCACCAGGCACUUUCUAGGUCCUUUGAAUACAGUAGUGAAUAAGGUGCAUUCCUGAGUGCAUUCUAGAAGAUGUUCUGGAGGUUAUAUUCUAGAAGGUGAAGGGGAUCAGAAUAUGCUACCCUAAAAUAUGCGACUUUGGCAUAAAUAUUAUUUUGAGCUGAAUUAAGAAGCAGCAGAUGCUGGUAAAAGCUCUUUGUCCCCCGCCCAUCUGUCUAAAGGCAGGGCACACAAUUCCCUUCGUGAAGAUGUCCCCUCUCUGCUCUCCUGUAUCAGGAGGAUAAAAACAGCCUGGACACUGGCCCAGAGGACCUACAAAAACACACCUUCCUAAAAUAAUCCUUAUUUUCCAUUCAUUUCCCUCAUAUAUCUACCUUCUCACCAUUUACGGACCAUCAGAGCCUUAAGCCCCUUUUUCCUUUGUUUGGUCGGUAUUCCACAAAUGUAUUGCUCUUUGUUAAAAUGGUAUCUAAGCCCCUGGUCUAACCAUUUCUUUGGGAUUUUCACUUCAUUUAUUCAGGCCUUUCAUAUGCAUGUGAAAUAACCCUUUUUCUCCUGUUAAUCUGUCUUUUGUCAAUUUAACUUUCACGACCCCUUGCACAGAGGUAAGAACAAAGAGGAAGGACCAUUAGAUGGGACUUGCCCUACCCCCAGGUAAGUUUGUGUCUCCGUGUCUGGUGGGUGGAAUAAUGGAGGUCCAGGGAAGACAGAGGACCUACCCAGAAAAUGGUGAGGGUAGGGGCCAGGUUUCCUAGUGUUCAGAGGUAACUUUUUUCUGAUGAACUUAACCUUCUGAAUGUUGGUUCCCAAUGAAGAGGUUUUAUUAUUGCCUCAUAGGUGCCCUUAUGUAUUUCUGAGUCCUUUUGUAUGGAUUACUUGUGGGAUUUAAGUGCAGGAGCAGUAUAAGGCUCUCCAACCUCAGGGCUGUGAAAUCUUCGUAACCCAUUUUCAAAAGAUUAAAGGAUAACAAUGAGUAAGAAAUACCGAGGUUCUAUAGAACCAAAGACUUAUAAUAACCUCACCUGACAAAGACAAUGGUAAAACACUUUGUUCCCAAUUAAGGGGGAUCUGGAAUGGUUUGAUUGCCAGAAAUCAACUGGUCCCAGUUGGGAUCCAUUCUGUUCACUAGCUUGGAAAUUAUUUUUACCAUGGAUCUUUACAGCCACAUUUCCCUCUAGACUCCUGGUAAUGCUUGAAUCCUUCCACUGCAAGAAAACAAUGAAAUCUUUUCUUCUAAAACAUAUUGACUCUGUCUAAUUGGGUUUGUUUCCCAUAUGUCAAGAGGAUGAAUGGCAUGUUCAAAUAUGAUGUGAUCUGAAGUAUUUGACAAAAGAUUGGUUGUAUGAAAAUGACUUUUUGGCAUUAGUACAAGAGAGAGCUAGGGGAGAGAAGCAGAGGGAGAAAGAGAGAGAGAAUCCCAAGUGGGCUCUGCGGUGAGUGUGGAGUUCAAAACCACGACCUUGGGAUCAUGACCUGAGCCGAAAUCAAGUCAGACACUCAACCAACUGAGCCACCCAGGGGCCCCAGAUUCACUGCUUCUUAAGGUGCUUCCUAGGUGCCCAGAUCUUACAUACGUCAUCUGAUUUAAUCCUUACUGCCAGUCCAAAAGUGUAAGCUUAAUGAGAGAAGGGGCUUUGUGACAUCCAGAAUUGUUACUCCAGGGCCUAGAACACUGUCUGAAAUACAAGAGAGAGAGCACAAGCAGGGGAGAGACAGAAAGAAUCCUAAGCA